CAAAUGAAGAGUUUGAUCCUGGCUCAGGAUGAACGCUGGCGGCGUGCCUAAUACAUGCAAGUCGAACGCUGGAGAUCUAGCUUGCUAGAUCGAAGGAGUGGCGAACGGGUGAGUAAUACAUAAGCAACCUACCCACGAAGACUGGGAUAAUCUCUGGAAACGGGGACUAAUACCGGAUAGGUAAUCGGAAGGCAUCUUCUGAUUAUUAAAGGUUAAAAACACUGGUGGAUGGGCUUAUGGCGCAUUAGUUAGUUGGUGAGGUAACGGCCCACCAAGACGAUGAUGCGUAGCCGGCCUGAGAGGGUGAACGGCCACAUUGGGACUGAGACACGGCCCAGACUCCUACGGGAGGCAGCAGUAG
rnacentral:rRNA from 1 species